GACGAACGCUGGCGGCGUGCUUAACACAUGCAAGUCGAACGGAAAGGCUCCAGCUUGCUGGAGUACUCGAGUGGCGAACGGGUGAGUAACACGUGGGUAAUCUGCCCUGCACUCUGGGAUAAGCCUGGGAAACUGGGUCUAAUACUGGAUAUGACCUUUCUCCUUAUGGGGUUUGGUGGAAAGUUUUUCGGUGUAGGAUGAGCCCGCGGCCUAUCAGCUUGUUGGUGGGGUGAUGGCCUACCAAGGCGACGACGGGUAGCCGGCCUGAGAGGGUGAUCGGCCACAUUGGAACUGAGAUACGGCCCAGACUCCUACGGGAGGCAGCAGUGGGGAAUAUUGCACAAUGGGCGGAAGCCUGAUGCAGCGACGCCGCGUGAGGGAUGACGGCCUUCGGGUUGUAAACCUCUUUCAGCAGGGACGAAGCGUAAGUGACGGUACCUGCAGAAGAAGCACCGGCUAACUAUGUG
rnacentral:rRNA from 1 species